GAGGAGCGAAAGUCUGGGGAGCGAACAGGAUUAGAUACCCUGGUAGUCCAGACCGUAAACGGUGGGCACUAGUUGUGGGAACCUUCCACGGUUUCUGCGACGCAGCUAACGCAUUAAGUGCCCCGCCUGGGGAGUACGAUCGCAAGAUUAAAACUCAAAGGAAUUGACGGGGCCCCGCACAAGCAGCGGAGCAUGCGGCUCAAUUCGACGCAACGCGAAGAACCUUACCAAGGCUUGACAUAUAGGGAAAAGUGACAGAGAUGUCAUGUCCGCAAGGGCUCUAUACAGGUGGUGCAUGGUUGUCGUCAGCUCGUGUCGUGAGAUGUUGGGUUAAGUCCCGCAACGAGCGCAACCCUCGUUCUGUGUUGCCAGCAUUUAGUUGGGGACUCACAGGAGACUGCCGGGGUUAACUCGGAGGAAGGUGGGGAUGACGUCAAAUCAUCAUGCCCCUUAUGUCUUGGGCUGCACGCAUGCUACAAUGGCCGGUACAGAGGGCUGCAAUACCGUAAGGUGGAGCGAAUCCCAAAAAGCCGGUCUCAGUUCGGAUUGAGGUCUGCAACUCGACCUCAUGAAGUUGGAGUUGCUAGUAAUCGUAGAUCAGCAACGCUACGGUGAAUACGUUCCCGGGGCUUGUACACACCGCCCGUCACGUCACGAAAGUCGGUAACACCCAAAGUCAGUGGCCCAACCGCAAGGAGGGAGCUGCCUAAGGUGGGAUCGGUGAUUGGGACGAAGUCGUAACAAGGUAGGCGUACCGGAAGGUGCGGCUG
rnacentral:rRNA from 1 species